AAAUGAAUUGACGGGGACCCGCACAAGCGGUGGAGCAUGUGGUUUAAUUCGAAGCAACGCGAAGAACCUUACCAAAACUUGACAUCCCAAUGCCCGGUCCUUAAUCGGAUCCUUCUAAGUUUACUUAGACAUUGGUGACAGGUGGUGCAUGGUUGUCGUCAGCUCGUGUCGUGAGAUGUUGGGUUAAGUCCCGCAACGAGCGCAACCCUUAUUUUUAGUAGCCAGCAAGUAAUGUUGGGCACUCUAGAGAGACUGCCAGGGAUAACCUGGAGGAAGGUGGGGACGACGUCAAAUCAUCAUGCCCCUUAUGUUUUGGGCUACACACGUGCUACAAUGGCUGCUACAAAGGGAAGCAAAUGGGUGACCAUAAGCAAACCUCAAAAAGGCAGUCCCAGUUCGGAUUGUAGUCUGCAACUCGACUACAUGAAGUUGGAAUCGCUAGUAAUCGCGAAUCAGAAUAUCGCGGUGAAUACGUUCCCGGGUCUUGUACACACCGCCCGU
rnacentral:rRNA from 1 species